AGUGAACGCUGGCGGUAGGCCUAACACAUGCAAGUCGAACGGCAGCACAGUAAGAGCUUGCUCUUACGGGUGGCGAGUGGCGGACGGGUGAGGAAUACAUCGGAAUCUACUUUUUCGUGGGGGAUAACGUAGGGAAACUUACGCUAAUACCGCAUACGACCUACGGGUGAAAUCAGGGGAUCUUCGGACCUUGCGCGAUUGAAUGAGCCGAUGUCGGAUUAGCUAGUUGGCGGGGUAAAGGCCCACCAAGGCGACGAUCCGUAGCUGGUCUGAGAGGAUGAUCAGCCACACUGGAACUGAGACACGGUCCAGACUCCUACGGGAGGCAGCAGUGGGGAAUAUUGGACAAUGGGCGGAAGCCUGAUCCAGCCAUACCGCGUGGGUGAAGAAGGCCUUCGGGUUGUAAAGCCCUUUUGUUGGGAAAGAAAAGCAGCAGGUUAAUACCCCGCUGUUCUGACGGUACCCAAAGAAUAAGCACCGGCUAACUUCGUG
rnacentral:rRNA from 1 species